rnacentral:rRNA from 1 species
GAUGAACGCUGGCGGCGUGCCUAAUACAUGCAAGUCGAGCGAACGGACGAGAAGCUUGCUUCUCUGAUGUUAGCGGCGGACGGGUGAGUAACACGUGGAUAACCUACCUAUAAGACUGGGAUAACUUCGGGAAACCGUAGCUAAUACCGGAGAAUAUUUUGAACCGCAUGGUUCAAAAGUGAAAGACGGUCUUGCUGUCACUUAUAGAUGGAUCCGCGCUGCAUUAGCUAGUUGGUAAGGUAACGGCUUACCAAGGCAACGAUGCAUAGCCGACCUGAGAGGGUGAUCGGCCACACUAGAACGGAGACACGGUCCAAACUCCUACGGGAGGCAGCAGUAGGGAAUCUUCCGCAAUGGGCGAAAGCCUGACGGAGCAACGCCGCGUGAGUGAUGAAGGUCUUCGGAUCGUAAAACUCUGUUAUUAGGGAAGAACAUAUGUGUAAGUAACUGUGCACAUCUUGACGGUACCUAAUCAGAAAGCCCCGGCUAACUACGUG